rnacentral:rRNA from 1 species
CCUACGGGAUGCAGCAGUGGGGAAUCUUGCGCAAUGGGCGCAAGCCUGAUCCAGCAAUGCCGCGUGCAGGAUGAAGGCCUUCGGGUUGUAAACUGCUUUUGUACGGAACGAAAAGCCCUGGGUUAAUACCCUGGGGUCAUGACGGUACCGUAAGAAUAAGCACCGGCUAACUACGUGCCAGCAGCCGCGGUAAUACGUAGGGUGCAAGCGUUAAUCGGAAUUACUGGGCGUAAAGCGUGCGCAGGCGGUUUUGUAAGACAGAGGUGAAAUCCCCGGGCUCAACCUGGGAACUGCCUUUGUGACUGCAAGGCUAGAGUACGGCAGAGGGGGAUGGAAUUCCGCGUGUAGCAGUGAAAUGCGUAGAUAUGCGGAGGAACACCGAUGGCGAAGGCAAUCCCCUGGGCCUGUACUGACGCUCAUGCACGAAAGCGUGGGGAGCAAACAGGAUUAGAUACCCUCGUA